rnacentral:rRNA from 1 species
CAGCCGCCGCGGGAAAACGGAGGGGGCUAGCGUUGUUCGGAAUUACUGGGCGUAAAGCGCACGUAGGCGGUUAUUCAAGUCAGAGGUGAAAGCCCGGGGCUCAACCCCGGAACUGCCUUUGAAACUAGAUGACUAGAAUCUUGGAGAGGCGAGUGGAAUUCCGAGUGUAGAGGUGAAAUUCGUAGAUAUUCGGAAGAACACCAGUGGCGAAGGCGGCUCACUGGACCGUUGUUGACGCUGAGGUGCGAAAGCGUGGGGAGCAAACAGGAUUAGAUACCCGCGUAGUCCCUGUCUCUUAUAC